CCUCCUCCGUUCCUUAAAGGGAUAGCCAUCAUUUACUCAUCCUCUUGCCGUUCCAAACCUGAAUGACUUUCUUUCUUCUGUUCUGUGGAACACAAAAUGGAUAUUUUGAAUAAUGUACUAGUCACUGUUUUUACGGAUAAGAUGGAUAAGAACUGAUCAAAGGAAACUAAAGGCCUACUUUGCAGUGCUGAUAAGCUCUCUUUAAGCACAAGAACUAUGUUCAUUUUUGCUGUUUAGAAAGGAGAACAUCUGUUUUAGUUAGUUAAUGUUUUCGGACCACAGAGGAUGUGGUAACGGUUUCAGACACUGUUAUUUAACCACCACAGAAUGUGGCAGGAAACGAUAGCGCUUCGCUGAUGGCAACAAAGAAAUUUUGAGUCAUGAGAGAUCCGAAGUCCAUACACAAGAUCUUCUGGAUCAUGGAAUUUCUGCCUUUCGCUUAAAAUAUAUUUAUGUGUUCUGUUAUAAGGGAGAAAACAAACUUUGCAGGGUCUUCAUGCUCAGUUAUGUGGUACCUGUCCAUAGUAUUUACCUUCACAGUAUAUGGAACCCAUGGUUGUGUGAUAACCAGUCCAGACCAGAAGGCUAAUGCUGGGACAGAUGUCCAUUUGUCGUGUAAUUUCUGGCAAUGUCCUGGACCUCUGGACAUCAUGUCUCUUAGUGUGGAGUGGGAAUUCAAGGAUAUCUCCUCUGAGCCAAAAAUAAUCCUCUACUACAUCAGAAAUCGAACUGUACCACUUCCUGGUGUGUUUUUUCAGGGAGAUGUCGAAUUAGGGAGUUUUGAUAUACAUCUCCCGUCUGUGACCCAUGAGAACAGUGGAACUUAUUUAUGUAGAUUACGUCUCAAUGGCAUUUUUCACAAGAACCAAACACACCUUAUUGUGCAAUCAGCACUGACCAGGAGAAACAAUCCAGGUGUAAAUCAUCUGCAGAAACGUCCUCCCUGGUUGCUGCCCCUGGCCUCAGUGGCAUCAGUGGCUGGGUUUGUGUUACUAAUUGGUACAGUUUUUUGGGGGAGGAAAGCUUACACGUCAACCCAGAGAGAAAACAACUCAAAGCAAAAUAUGGAAGAGGCUAAAACCAGCACUGAUGCUGAAGACAAGGGAAUUAUAUAUAAGGUGGGAUUCAGCAUGCCUGACCUCGCAGACGUGAACAGUCCACCUAGCAGUCCAGAUAACAUCUAUGUUACCAUGCAGCAUGGUUUGCCAUUCGCACCAGAUGUUCCUGCCACAGCUGGACGCAACAGACGUCUUCCCUCUGAUUGGCAGCUGAAGGAUGAGGAACCCGUAUUUGUCCGCUGAUACCAAGAUUUAUUAGUCAGAUCAUGCCACUUGAAAGAUGAGACACAGAAUAAGUGAUUAUUUAAAUUAGUGAGAGUAAGUAUUGUCAGAUAUGCAUUAUAUAGUCCCAAAACAGACUGUUUUGUGUAUUAUUUUUCAAUACUCACCAGCUGUACAUCACUGUACAUUAUCCCUCAUAAUAAAUCUGUUAUUUCCUCAUGCACCUCUUUCAUCAUCUACCAGAUGUCAACAGUGGUCAAUAUAGUUUAGUUACUGCACUUCUUGUGAGCUUCAGCCCUCGACUUUUUCCUAUCUUCUCAAUGACUUCUCAUCAGCAUGAAAUUGCCAAUUCUUCUAACUGUCUCUCUGUCUCUGAAGAGGCAAACAAAAUUGCCCUGCAGUGGAGAAGUGGUUUUAGCAUUACACACUUAAUUAUUCAUGCCAACUGUCCUUUGAGAUUUAAGGAAUCACAGAUCACGAGUUUUGUAAAUCACAAUAAACUAGUUGCUAACCAUUACUGGCAUCAAGGCACACCCUCAAUGAAUGUGCUCUCAUUUCACUAAUCAGAUAAAUAGGCUACACUGCCUACUGUAUAUGGCUAUGUAUAUCUUUAAUAAUCAUCAUCGUAUUUUUCGGCACCAUUCUCAUCCCUUGUGUGCAUUUCCACCUCCUGCUCAUCUCUAGUGCACUUUGAUCUCCAUUAGUGAGGAGAUGAGGAGAGGUUGUCCAACUGCAAGCUAGAGCCUUAUUAUUUGGUUUUGCGUCAACGGCCGUUUGGAUUUUCUUAGGCUGAUUUCUGAUUUUUCUCAAAUUAUGUGACACGUGUAAUAUAAAGAUGCAUUCAGAUUUUUUUUUUUUUUUAAAUCAUGUAAAACUGAUUCAUAUCAUAUUUUAUUUGCUGCUAUUAUAGUAUAUUGUAACAUGGUUCAACUGAACCCGACAAACAACAAUCCACAACCAUACUAUCAACCAGUUUUCCUUCUACAGACACUGCCAGCCAUAUCAUAGCACAAAAUAAAAACAUUUUACGUGUUUUUUUUAGUAUAAUUGAAACGAAAAAAAUAGAUCUCAAAAGCUUUUCUGUUUUUAUUGUCCGCUACGUUUAUUGUCAUCGACCAAAAUGCCUAUUUUAUUGCAUUUUGGGAAAACGCAGUGGGCGUCUUCUUUGAAAUUAUCCUGCGUUGCAUUGAUGGUAUUUCUGGCCUGUCCAGUGAAUUCCAUGGAUGUGCUGGUGCCACCACAGAUCCUCACUCUCAAUGGGACUGAUGUCAGAAUCCCCUGUGCAUUCACUUCAUGCUACAAACUGGACCCCAGCAAGUUUGCCAUGAACUGGACCUAUCAGGAGACAAGCAACAGUACAGAAGAAAUUUUCAUGACCUAUAAGAACAAGAUAACACCCUUGAAGUCGACCCGAUUUGGAGAUCGAGUCAUAUUUUCUGGAAACCUGGAUAAGAACGACCUGAGCAUCACUAUCUCAAAUGUGCAGUUGACAGACGAGGGCAUCUACAACUGCUAUGUGCGCAACCCUCCAGACCGCAUUCGGGGCCACGGCAUCAUUCAGGUCUUCGUCCCGACUGAAUUGCCGCCACCAAGAGAUUCGACCAUUGCUGUUGCCAUUGGGGCAUCUGUGGGGGGAAUUCUAGCUUUGCUCAUUCUGUCCAUGGUAGUGGUGAAGUGUAUUCGCAGACAUAAGAACCAGGAGCUGAUCUCAGAUGAGCAGAAGAUGGAGGAAGAGGGCAAAGCAGAUGGAGAAGGAGGCACAGAAGAAGCAACAAAACAGCCCUAACCGCCAUCUUAGCCCUGGAGGUCUAACGGAUGGUGGAGCUCAAUCCUACACAUUCUGAAAUUUAAGCCUCCUGCCUGAAGAUAUCUAAGACCUUGUUUGACUCUUCAUCCUAUAACGGUCUCAUUCAACAUUCCUCGGUUUUCUCAUGUAGCAGUAGCAUGUCAUAAAGGAAGAUCUCCACCACAGUGCCAUGGUGUCCAGUUACCAGUGAGAAAUCACAAAGGGUUUCAAACUGCCUCUUCCACUCAAUACAACAGGUUAAGGCCCAAAGCCUGGAGCCACAGUGAUACAUAGGCCAGGGAGCCUCACCCUCUGCUGGGCAAAGCCGACACCCACACUGGCUUCUGUUUACUCACACUUUAACUCACUCAGUCCCCUUCUGACUGGCUUAUUUUAUUAAUUUUUUAACUGACAUAUGUGUUAUGUUACACUUCCACAUCCUAUUGUACUCCAAUACAUAUUUAAUAAAUCAAAUUAUAUUGCUUGUUGUUAUAUGAAAAUGUACUUUGAAGGAUUGCUGUGAUACCUCUAAAAUGUUGCUCCAUUUUGACCUCAAAUUCAUUGUAGGGAAUGUAUCUAUUAUUAUUGUUCAUUUGAAUGUUUAAUUCAGUAAUGCUUUAUUGUAUUAUGAACCAAAACUGAGAUUUGCAUAUUGUGUAAUCAUAACUGUUAACUGUUAUUGCUAUGUAUUCAAUGAUAAUCAUGUAUUCAAUGACACUCAGUUACACAUGUACAUUGUAUUUUUACCACCGUGUUUUGCAUUAGAUAUUUGCAUAAUGUGAGCGACAUCAGGCAUCCACAAGAUGUUAAAAAAGGCUCCUAAAGGAUAUAAUAAAACCAUUAAGCUCAUAAUUUGAUUUGCUGCACAGCAGUUAACAUUAAGCCAGCUUCUGAAAUCCAGACUGAGGCUUAAUGAUUUUAUGGCUAGCGCUUUAGUGGUUGCCAUUCAUAGGUUUAGUUGCCAGGAAACAUGACUCCAAAUCCCUGAUUAUCUAGCCUGAUAUUAUACUGAAGGUGAAUUGUAUCAUCACAUAUAUAAUGCAACCAUGAUUGUACUGCCUUGAUGUUUUGUUUCUGUUUUGCAUUUGCCUUCAAGAUUUCAUUUGUACAUCAAGAUCAUUCAAACAUAACAUUUAUGUGGGCAUAAAAAAAUAACAGCAGUCCAGCGAGGUUGGUUGGAAUGGUUUGGGGACCAGUUUUUGCUUUAUUUUUUUCAUCAUGCAUGCCUCUGUUUAGUGUCUCGCUGAAGGUCUGACUCUGGCCUACUUUAAAUACAUACUGUAUACUUGCACUGCACCAUAACUAAGAGCUGCAUCACUGAUUGUUUUUUUUUAGUUUUGGUUUUGUCUUUUCAAUAAAAACAAAGAAACAACGCAUUUUGGUUCUGCCUCUUUUUAAAUCUAAAAAUGUUUUAUUAAUUAAAAGUAAUAAUAUUCAAAGAGAUAGUUCCCUCAAAAAUGUAUUAAUUUACUCUCUCUCGUCAUGUUCAAAACCCAUGACUUACUUUCUUCUGUGGAAAUCAAAUGAAGAUGAC
ensembl:lncRNA